rnacentral:lncRNA from 1 species
UCGCACCCACACUCGCUGGGUUCGGGUUUUUCACCCAAAUCCGAAACCCGUAAUAAGAACACGCAUAAUUGAUUAUCUGCUCAAACCCGACCCGAACUAUAUUUGAUAAAAUGCAAAAUGUAGCAUAAUACAUAGGGGUAAAUCGGUAAUUUAAUAUAUAAACGGGUGGGUGAAUGAGUUUCAGAUGUGGGUUUGAUACUACCCAAACCCACACCCAUAUAUUCGGGUGCCACCCGAACCCAAACCAGUCAACUCGGGUUUCUCCCGUUGACUUGGGUUUGAGUUCGGAUGGGUCUAUCGGGUUUGAUUUUUCCUGCCAUCCCUCAUGUCCGAGAAACCCUACUUUUUAAAUUCAUUGAAAAUCUAAUGUAUUUAGCCCAUAUUAUAGAAUAUGUAUAUUAUAUUCUCAAUGAAUCUAAAAAGGUAAAAUUUAUCUUAUAUUAAGAAUCGGACAGACUAUUCAAAAGAUCCAUAAUAUUAAUUUCAACAUUGAAAAUUUGAAACAUUAUAUCACAACACUUUGUAAAUCUAAAUAAGAUCUAUAACUAUGGUAAACAAAAUUAAAUAAGAUCUAUAACAUAUCCAAACAAAGGGGGCGAUGAUUAUAAUGAGAGAGGCCUUUAGUAGGAAAAUACCCAAUUCCCUCACAAAAUCACAAUCCAUUUUCUACCAAAAUAUAACAUAUCCAAACAAAUAUACAAAGAGUGUACCAUAGAUUAAUAUAUUUAUAAUGAUAUAUCUAUGUAAAUGGUGGUUGCUUCAAUGAUAAAUAAAGAAGAAAAAUAAAACGAAAU